ACGCAUUAAGCAUUCCGCCUGGGGAGUACGACCGCAAGGUUGAAACUCAAAGGAAUUGACGGGGGCCCGCACAAGCGGUGGAGCAUGUGGUUUAAUUCGAAGCAACGCGAAGAACCUUACCAGGUCUUGACAUCUUUUGAUCACCUGAGAGAUCAGGUUUCCCCUUCGGGGGCAAAAUGACAGGUGGUGCAUGGUUGUCGUCAGCUCGUGUCGUGAGAUGUUGGGUUAAGUCCCGCAACGAGCGCAACCCUUAUGACUAGUUGCCAGCAUUUAGUUGGGCACUCUAGUAAGACUGCCGGUGACAAACCGGAGGAAGGUGGGGAUGACGUCAAAUCAUCAUGCCCCUUAUGACCUGGGCUACACACGUGCUACAAUGGAUGGUACAACGAGUUGCGAGACCGCGAGGUCAAGCUAAUCUCUUAAAGCCAUUCUCAGUUCGGACUGUAGGCUGCAACUCGCCUACACGAAGUCGGAAUCGCU
rnacentral:rRNA from 1 species